rnacentral:tRNA from 1 species
GCCGUCGUAGCUCAGUCGGUGGAGCGUCCGCCUGUUAAGCGGAAGGUCAACGGUUCGAACCCGUUCGACGGCGCCA